UGGAGAAACAAAAUCUAGUGACCAAAAAACCUAUUAGAAGAUAUUAGUCAUAGGUAACAUUAAUACUAAUAAUAAUUUAGUAAAAGAGAGUGGGUUCAUUCUAAAAACAUGUGUAUACAUAACAUCGAAAGAAUUUAGAAUCUUAAUAAUUUGAUAUGAUCAUAGAUGAAGAAAAUUGUCCUCGUAAUUGGCAAAGAUUUCUUAUUUCCUGGUAUAUUAAGAGAACAAUAUGGUAUGACUUUAUCAUAGUGAUACAAUAUAAGUCCAACUUAAUCCACAGAUCUUAGUAGUACCUUGACACAGAUAAAAAGAUUACGAAAGGAACGGUUUCGAUAGCUUUAAGUAGAUGUAAUGACAUUUCGUCUCGUCGGUGGAAUUGGAGUUCGUCAUCGACCGAGAUACAUCGUUGAACUAGGCGACCCCAAAACUGAUUGUAAUAUUUGUGGACCAUUAAGAAAGAGUAGAGGAAAAAGAACGAGAACGAUCCGAUCAAACGAUCGAUACAAAGAUGGACGGGUUGAUCGAUCGAUCAAUCGAUCGAGACGAUUCGAGAAAGACACGAGAAGAGCUUAGAUCGAAUUAGAAAUUAGGAUCUAGGAUCGCCAACAGAGAGCCCGGCUAGAAUACCAGCAGUAGUAGUAGCAGCAGAGCAUAUCGUCGACAUCGUCGGUCGACGCAUAUCAGUGGGCGGGUUCGUGGACUCUCCGCGUAACUAUUAAUAAAGCUCGGCUUGUCUCUUCAAGGUCGUAGUCAUGCCUUCGAAAAGAGAUAUAUAUUGUACGGGCACUGCGCGAUUUACCGAUAUAUAAAUAAGCGCAAUUUGGGAAAUAACAUGAAUUUGUUGGACAUUCGAAAGUGAUCUCUCACCAAGUAAGAAACGGGGAUCAUUGUUUUGAGAAUGGAAGAUCUCAUACGCGUGUAAAGGUCACCGUUAAGAUCGGGUUACUCAAACGAGAAGGUCUCUAUUCCGUGAUGUAUCGCUGUUUAAGCCGAGGAAGAUCGAUUUACGGAAUUGAUUUUAGUGAGUGAGUCUUCUCGAUCGACAAAGCACACUUUUGGUAAACAAACCGCAUGAGGAAUUUAUCGAAAAUGUAUAGCUAACUUUUGGAUUUAUAAAAAAGGAGGAUUAUUAAGAAUGCUAUUGGUCACGUGAUAGCAUAAGCAUAUAAGAAGAAAAAAAACAGAUUGAAGACAUAAUUCCACACACUGCCAAGAUCCACGCACGCCAAAAAAAAACAAAACAAAAGAGAAUACAAUCCAAUUAAUAAUAAUAAUAAUAAUCCAAAAAUCUCAUCUCGUUUACGUGCUACCUCUGAAGUCGACGUGCCAUUGGACUCCGGCGUGACAUCAAGUUUAGCGUCGAAGCAUCGAAUGUUCGUCGCCGCCCUUGUCAUCGUUGUCAUCGUCGUCGUCGUCGUCGUCGUCGUUGUCUCCGGGACAUUCCUUGGCAACCAAUUAUCCCAUACGGCCUGUCUUGGCCACCAGGAAACUGCAGUAGGCAUUAACAAGCCUAGCUCUUGUCCAUUCAUCGUUGGAAAUGAUGAAACCGUAGACGAAGAAGAAGACGACGAGGUGGUCAUUGGUGGGCCACCGUCGUAUGUUAACCAACACCCAGGAUGAUCCAGGAUGGAUUCUAUCUUAUUGGAGCAACCAUCGAUCCAUAACGAUCGAUCGAAGAGGAACUGGAAGAUGCUACGUUUAGAUAUAAAAUUUCUCCGUUCGAUUCGAUUUUCUCCAAUUGAUUGGACGACGACCUCGACGGCGACGACGACGACGACGACAACGAGGACAACGGCGACGACGACGAAGACGAGGAUUUAUCCCUGAGAAGGAGGAGUAGGAAGAGGAGGACGAGGAGGACGACGACGACGACGACGACGACGACGACGAAGACGUUGCACCGGCCAUCUGGCGCAAACUCGCACUAAAACCGCGGCGAAACCGCGUGACGAGUCCCCCUCGAAAAUAGUCCUCGGUCGAAAAUAGCCGACGCCGAGUAAGAAAGAAGAAUCAUCGGCAUUCGCUCCGGUACGCUAGAGAGAGAAAGAGAGAGAGAGAGAGAGAGAGAGAGAGAGAGAAAGAGAGAGAGAGAGAGAAAGAGAGAGAGGCUUCGUUGCGCCACAAGCUUCUCCAGAGCUCAAGAAUUUGCCUCGUAUCACCUACCGAAAGUGAUUCUCUCUCUCUGUCUCUCUCUCUCUCUCUCUCUUUCUCCUUUCUUCUUCUUCUUUCUCUUCUUCUUCUUCUUCAAUUUCAUCGUGACGCUUUAUCUCUGCGACAUUGAAGUUGAGCUUCGAUACAAAAACGUUAGCACGAUACCAUCCUCUUGGGUGUCGUAUCAAACGCAACGACGCAGAAAAGAAAGUCUAGCUCAGGAAGGAAGUAGAAAAAGAUAAUGGAAAGAGGAAAGAAGAUGAAGAAAUCUAAUGAGGAUAACAAAUGCUUAUAACUCGCUAAAAGUAGAAUUCUCGUAUUUCUAGGUAACGGACAAUCUAAGGUGUUUACAUUUAUCAUUCCUAUUAGAUGAUUAUCUUUCCUAAAAUAAAAACUUUCUAAAAUAUGAUAUAUAUACAUAUACAUAAAAAAAUCGUUGAUAUGUAUCAGCGAUGUUAUUUGACGUGAGAGUGUUAUAUAGUACAAUAAUUGUUGACUGUUCAGAACGGAGUACCAUUAUUUUUUUAUUAGAAAUUUAAUAUCUUUGAAAAUUUCGUUGGCCGAUAGAGAGCACCACGAUCGAUGUGUUGACUAUUAUCGGCCAUCAUGUUUCAUAAAGAUCGAGGCCUGUCUCAGGGACUGUUUUAUUAUUAUUAUUAUUAUUAUUAUUAUUAUUAUUAUUUUAUUAUUAUUAUUAUUAUUAUUAUUAUUAUUAUUAUUAUUUCUUUUUUAUUUAUUUAUUUUGUGGAUUUAUGAAAAACUUUCUCAUUUUAUUUUUUUUAUUUUUCCCCCAUUCAUAGAAAGUAUCAUGAGAAAAUUUGAUUAUUUUGUUUGAUUUGACUUUUUUUUUUGUCUUAACUGAAAUCUCGUCGUGGUAGCGACGGAAGGCGAUCAUACAGAAAAAGGGAGAGCGCACAAUUAUGAGUAAUAUAUAUAUAUAUAUAUAUAUAUAUAAAUUUAAAAAUUUCUUUUUGUUUAAAUAAAUAAAUCAUUACCGGGGCGUGCUCCUUCGUUCUUUCGUUUUUUUUUCCUUUCUUAUAUCGUUUUAUCUGUGGAACUAUUCCAACUCACCUGACUCCUGGAUGAUGGCGAACGAUGGCGAUGCCUUUCCUGGCUCGGCGACGAGGACCCAUGAUGCCGGUGAAUUCGCACACGACGUGAUGAGGUCGGAUGCGCCAGGUGGGUACGAUCACGAUCACGAUGUCCGUGCUGUCUACCACUGCUCGGUGAGCGACGAUGGCUUCUUUUAUAUCGUCUCUCCUGACUGGUCCCGCGCUCGUGUUGCCGCGACCUCAAUACCCGCUCUCCGCUAAAAUUAUCGAAACAUUUUGUUUAUACAUUUAUGUAUUUAUAUAUUCAUUAUAACAAUAAAUCAUCAAAACGAAAUUUUGUUUCAUUAAAAUUUGCAACAUCUCAAGGGGUUCUUGUUACACAAUGUUCUUUUUUC